AACUAUGUGGUUAGGAAGCAGGCUUCUUAGCAUACGGCCACACCUUAAGAGACAUGUUGUUUGUGGAAACGCAAGUAGUGUUGCAUUAAAUGCUUAUAAAUUCUAUCUAGAGAUUAUUGUUAUUAUUAUAUGUAUCCUACAUUUUAUCAGUCCAGCUCAAAUCAACCCCGAAAAACUGGUUCCGGCAUAACAGAAUAGGAGCUUUAUUUGCUUAUUCAAAACGUUUCCCAUGAACAAAUUUAAAAUAUUCUCGCGCAUGUGUGUGUGUGUGUGUUGAUAAUUUCCCACGGAAUAACCUGUUGUUCAAGUCUUGCACCUGAAUAGAGUACACAUAAGUCAAAAACUUUCUUCUAAUAAAAAAAAAAAGCAUAUUUCUAGUGAUUUUACAGUGGCAAAGUUAUAUAAAUCGCAGUAAAAAAUUCAUAAAACAAAAUAAACUAUUUUACCUUGAGUCAAAAGUUGUUCUGCUUAUUUUCCGGGAUUUCAUUACUUAACUCUCCUAUUGCUGACGUAUUUCAAGCAAGCAGCCGGAAUUUACGGACAUGGAAGUCUUAAGCGGCAUAGGAAUGGAGUUGCCUCUUGAUAGUCCGCCGGACUAUACGGAAAUAAUUUAACCAUCUGCCCCCCCCCAAUAUACAGGAACUGAAUAUCAGGAAACUGAGUUUCCGCAAACUGAGCAACCCCAGAUUGGGGUUCUUCCGGCACUUCGAUAUACACAGGCUCCUGGGCAUCGGCCACCAAUAAGCAAUCUCCUACCAGCUGGAUAUCCCCCACCAACUACACAUCAUGCACCAGUUACAGAUCUUCCACCUCCUGGGUACACCCCAUCCUAUCCCGUGCAACAACAACCAUAUGUACAAACCCAUGUACAACAACAACAACAACAACAACAACAACAACAACAACAACAACACCAGCAACAGCAACAAAGUGUGAUCAUAACCACCCAACAGCCACAACACAUCUACACUGAAAAUAAGAUGGUAACAGCAAUUCUUGUCACCCUUUUCUGCUUUUUGCCAACAGGCAUUCCUGCUAUAAUAUAUGCAGAUAAAGCCAAUACAUUGUUUCAAUGUGGUAAUACAACGAGAGCAACGCUGGCUAAUAAAAAAGCAACACAUCAGAAUAUCCAUCGUCGCUGAUAUUAUUACGUCUAUUGGUUGCACUGCAGCAAUAAUGGCAGUAAUCGUUAAAGCUACAACUAGUACACAUGCUGCCAUAAGCAACUGGUCAAAUGAUUAUGAUUAUGUUAUCAAUUAAAUAGAGUAUGUUUUGUUAAAUACAUUGAGAGCUUCAAUCAGAAAAUGACAUAUUUCAUAAUAUUUCAUAAUAUAUUUUGCAAUUCGGAAUACUGAAAAAUGGAUAUAUUCUGACCAGUAUAUCUGUGUAGCUAUAGCCUAAUAGCAGGGACCGAUAAUGGAAUAAAAAAUAUUGGAGUUUAAAUAGUUUUCUGCGCCACAGCAGACAUUUCUUCUGUCCGAUAUACUCUCAGCCACUGAAAUAUACUGAGUGCUAGAACUGUUGUUUUCUUUGUUUUUUGUUUUGUUUGCAUUUCUUUCAUUUUCUCAUCUCUAAAAAUCUACAUCUAAAACAUCAAUUUAUUUUAUGUAAUUUUGAAACAAAUUAAAAAAGUAUACUUCCUUUUUUUAAAAAAUAUUAACUUUUAUAUAACUGACUUUUUUGAACUAGCAACUUGAAUAUUUUGUAAAGACAAAAUCAGCUGUAUACGUCAACACUAUUAUAGGUAACAGUAAUUUUAAUGGGCAUAACUACAGAGUUGUACCCACCAGACUUUGGAAGGUCAUAACUUUUAGAAAAAUGAAUAUUUUUUUAAUGAAAUUUUCUAUGCGUAUAGUAUUUAUUAUGUAGAUUCCGAAUAUACAAAAAUUUCUGGUGAAAGUGUUUUGGAAUGGGGGUGGGGGAUAAUUUUUGGAAAUUCCAACAGAGUCCACUUAAAUUCUUCUUAACUUCCAGGAAAAUUAAUAUUUUUCCGUGAAAUUUUCUACAAAUAUACCUUGAUGUAUGUACAUUUCGAGCAUGUAGGAAUUUUGAAGGAAACAACUGCAGGUUAUUUUUGAGAAGUGUUCCCCACUCGGUGAUGUUUCGGACCAAGUCGUCCAUAAUUGUUUCAUUUUUCUCUAUUAUGUGCGUAUGUGCAUCCGUAGAUUUGUAAUGAAGUAAUACGCUGCUUCUGUUCUCUUCUACUUCUCUACUAGAAACAUUUACUUUGGAAUUUACUUCUAUUGAGAAAAAAAAAUCGUGUGCAUGUUGUUUUUAACGUAAGUUUUCUUAUGACGGCUUCUCUUUUCUGCUUAUUACUUCAUUAGAAAUCUAAAAAUUGUCCCCCACCCCCAUUCCAAAACACUUUCACCAGAAAGUAUAUUCGGAAUCUACAUAAUAAAUACUAUAUGCAUAGAAAAUUUCAUUAAAAAAUAUUGAUU